GGGGUUGUGGCUCAGUGGUAGAGCGCUUGCCUCGCAUGCGUGAGGCACUGGGUUCAAUCCCUGGCACCA
rnacentral:tRNA from 1 species